rnacentral:rRNA from 1 species
GAUGAACGCUGGCGGCGUGCCUAAUACAUGCAAGUCGAGCGGAAGGACGAGAAGCUUGCGGCUUUGACGUUAGCGGCGGACGGGUGAGUAACAUGUGGAUAACCCACCUAUAAGAGGGGGAAAAACUCGGGAAACCGGAGCUAAUACCGGAGAAUAUUUUGAAGCGCAUGGGGGAAAAGUGAAAGACGGCGUUGCGGGCAGUUAUAGAGGGAUCCGCGCUGCAUUAGCUAGUUGGGAAGGUAACGGCUUACCAAGGCAACGAUGCAUAGCCGACCUGAGAGGCUGAUCGGCCACACUGGAACUGAGCCACGGUCCAGACUCCUACGGGAGGCAGCAGUCGGGAAUCUUCCGCAAUGGGCGAAAGCCUGACGCAGCCACGCCGCGUGAGUGAUGAAGGUCUUCGGAUCGUAAAGCUCUGUUAUUGGGGAAGAACAUCUUUCUACGUAGCUGUGCACUUCUUGACGGUACCUAAUCAAAAAGCCCCGGCUAACUACGUG